rnacentral:piRNA from 1 species
UCUCGGAAGGCUGUGUGUGGCUC